rnacentral:rRNA from 1 species
GACGAACGCUGGCGGCGUGCCUAAUACAUGCAAGUCGAGCGGACGGAUGGGAGCUUGCUCCCAGACCGUCAGCGGCGGACGGGUGAGUAACACGUGGGCAACCUGCCUGUAAGACUGGGAUAACUCCGGGAAACCGGGGCUAAUACCGGAUAACUCUUUCCCUCACAUGAGGGAAAGCUGAAAGAUGGCAUCUCGCUAUCACUUACAGAUGGGCCCGCGGCGCAUUAGCUAGUUGGUGAGGUAAAGGCUCACCAAGGCGACGAUGCGUAGCCGACCUGAGAGGGUGAUCGGCCACACUGGGACUGAGACACGGCCCAGACUCCUACGGGAGGCAGCAGUAGGGAAUCUUCCGCAAUGGACGAAAGUCUGACGGAGCAACGCCGCGUGAGUGAUGAAGGUUUUCGGAUCGUAAAACUCUGUUGUCAGGGAAGAACAAGUACCGGAGUAACUGCCGGUACCUUGACGGUACCUGACCAGAAAGCCACGGCUAACUACGUG